AGUGAACGCUGGCGGUAGGCCUAACACAUGCAAGUCGAACGGCAGCACAGUAAGAGCUUGCUCUUACGGGUGGCGAGUGGCGGACGGGUGAGGAAUACAUCGGAAUCUACUUUUUCGUGGGGGAUAACGUAGGGAAACUUACGCUAAUACCGCAUACGACCUACGGGUGAAAGCAGGGGAUCUUCGGACCUUGCGCGAUUGAAUGAGCCGAUGUCGGAUUAGCUAGUUGGCGGGGUAAAGGCCCACCAAGGCGACGAUCCGUAGCUGGUCUGAGAGGAUGAUCAGCCACACUGGAACUGAGACACGGUCCAGACUCCUACGGGAGGCAGCAGUGGGGAAUAUUGGACAAUGGGCGCAAGCCUGAUCCAGCCAUACCGCGUGGGUGAAGAAGGCCUUCGGGUUGUAAAGCCCUUUUGUUGGGAAAGGAAAGCAGCAAGUUAAUACCCCGCUGUUCUGACGGUACCCAAAGAAUAAGCACCGGCUAACUUCGUG
rnacentral:rRNA from 1 species